rnacentral:rRNA from 1 species
GAUGAACGCUGGCGGCGUGCUUAAUACAUGCAAGUCGAACGGAAAGGCCAUGCUUUUGCUGCUUGCUCGUGUGGCGCACGGGUGUGUAAAACGCGAGUAAAAUGUCCCUGUCAUUCUGAUAACACUUGGAGACUCCGGAUAUUACCGCAUAGGAGCUAUUGAACCAUGUUGGGUGUUAGUAAGUUUCGGUGGUUGGGUAUGGACUCGAGGCUUAUCCGCUUGUUUGUGAAGUAGUGGCUUACCAAGGCUUUGACGGGUAGCCGGCCUGAGAGGGUGACCGGCCACAUUGGGACUGAGAUACGGCCCAGACUCCUACGGGAGGCAGCAGUGGGGAAUAUUGCACAAUAGGCGGAAGCCUGAUGCAGCAACGCCGCGUGCGGGAUGACGUCCUUCGGGUUGUAAACCGCUUUCGCCUGUGACGAAGCGUGAGUGACGGUAAUGGGUAAAGAAGCACCGGCUAACUACGUG